GGAAGAAAGAGAAUGACGGUACCCGUAGAGGAAGCUCCGGCUAACUACCGUGCCAGCAGCCGCGGUAAAACGGGGGGAGCAAGCGUUGUCCGGAAUUACUGGGCGUAAAGGGUGUGUAGGUGGAUWUAUAAGUCAAAAGUGAAAACCGGUGGUUUAACCGACGGCCUGCAUUUGAAACUGCAGAGCUUGAGUACAGGGAGAGGGAAAGUGGAAUUCCUGGUGUAGCGGUGAAAUGCGUAGAUAUUGGGAGGAACACCGGUGGCGAAGGCGGCUUUCUGGCCUGUAACUGAC
rnacentral:rRNA from 1 species